CAUACCUUGGAAGUCAAACGGAAUCCGUUCCGGAAGUCCGUUCGACUUCCGAAAAGUUCGGAAACCAAGGCAAAGCUUCUGAUUGGUUCCCGAUUGCGCAGGUGCGCUGGAAACAAUAGCCGAAGCUGCGCUGGACGUUAAGCUUCCAAAAAAGUCCAAAAACUGGAACACUCAAUUCUGGUCUUUGAUCGUUCGGGAGCCGGAAUGUUUCAUUCUCCCUUGGCGUUUGGGAGCCAAGGUAUGACUGUAUAUGUAACCUCAGCAUAGGAUGGAGGGGCUCACAGCAUUGCCAUCCUGAAAGAUCUUGUUUUGCCGUUCUUUGCAGCUUUGGAUGCAGCACAGAGCAAGCUGUGUCUCCAUCUUUUAGCCCAGGUCACACAUCCCUCCGAUGAUUGUUCUGCUACCUAGCAGCUAGGGUGUAGGGGGAGGCCCACUCAUUUGUUCUAUGGCACAGAGCACCUUCUUUGGUUAUGCUAAUCGUGGCGAUUAAGUAGCCAGCCAAAGCCAUUACCUAGACAAAGGAACAGGUUCAGCAACUCACACACAUUCUGUGCCCACAGAUUCAGGAUCCCAAGAGCUGGAAGGGACUCAGGGCAUUAUUCACACUGACCCUCCCCAACACAUAACACUAUAUUAUAAAAAUGAACUUUUGACCAGUGCAGAUACUUGUGGCUUCAGCACCAAGCCAGGUGUCUUCCAUGCCCGCAUUCCCUUAAUAUCCAGUCAGGUGGACUCAAAGAUCGGUCACAUCACCAACAGCAUUAUUUUUUAUUUUUUGCUGGCCUUUCACCAGAAGGCCCCAGGGAAGGUUACAGCAUAUAAAAACACAACUGAAACAGUAAAACAUCAACCGCCCCACUCAUAACCUCAAACUCAGUAAUCCUUCCACACAUUACAAGGACCAGACAGGCCAGAGUGCAGAGCUGCAUAUUCAGCCAUUGACAAAGGCUAUGAUGCCAGCCCCACCUCUGUGGGGAGGGAGUCUUGUGACGUCUUAGUAGCCACCGCCAACUUUCCUUGCACAGCUUUUUGGUGCAUUUCUCCCUGAGAAAAACUUUUUUUAAUUAUUUGGCAAGCAGUGGGUCAGCAAAGAGAAGCCCAGCAGAUGACCUCAUUGUCCCUGUGGUGAAAUAAGGAGGAGACCCCACCCAUCUCUCUUCUGCCACACCAGCUUUUGUGAUUACUUCUCAGUGUACAAAUCAGCAAGCACGCCUUCUUUCACACACAUGCUUGUACACAGGUAGAGGCAGCGUGUACCAGCGUGUUCAAUGUAAUGUGUGAACAAGCCCUUGUGUGGCCGUUGUUUGGGAUCUUUCGGAUCCAGAAGCAGACGUCUCAAUGUUUUGAAGACAGUUUUGUAAACGACAAGUCAAUAUAAACCUCUCUGUCAUUUGGGGGGAGGGUGUUGAAUACCACAGGAGAAGCCAAAAUAAUUUCUUGCUUUUUUAUGACCUGUGGUGGUGGGGAGGAGGUUCUUUUAUUUUUAUCCUGUUACAUUGAACAAUCACCCCCCCCCCCCGUUUUCUUUUUGCUUCUUUCAGGAGGAAAUCUUUUCAUUUUCUUAAAUAGGUUGGCUUUCCUGCAUGACAACCACUAGGUGACAUAAUAAUUUGUAUUGGAAAUGUUCCCUUCUUGGAUUAAAAAUCAGCUUCGACUGCAUUCCAACGUUCUGGGUGCAUUGCCAGUUUUGGUUAUCAAUGGACUAAAUAAUUCAAAACUUGGUGUCAUUAAAUGGAGCGGUGGGAGGUGUAACUAAAAUGAAUUUUCAGCCAUGCAGCUGGUAUUUUAACCCACAGGAAUCUGAAUGCAUAAUGUUUAAUUGGGCCUUUAUAUUUUUGGUUAUUAUCAAGUAUAAAAAGGUAAUCAUGGCAAAUGUUCUUCAAACACACUGCUAUAUCUUUUAACUCAGAAGUAAGUCCUGCUGUUUUCAGUGAGGUUUACUCUCUAAAUGUCAUUUAGGGAUGCAGCUUCAGGUCCAAAAAUAUGCAAAGCCAGGUCUUGAAUCAGAGAAUUUUAGGGUUGGACAUGACCUUGGAAAUGGUGACUCAUACCUACUGGAACUGGUAGGGCAGAUGAUAUUAUUAUCCCCGUGUCACAAUGGGUUAGUGUGUCUGGCUGUUAGCCAGAUGGUUGGUUCAAGCCCUCCAUGGAUGGCUGUUGGUAGAAUUCCUGCAUUUGAGCGGGUUGGACUAGAUGACCCCCAGGGUCCCUUCCAACUCUACAAGUAUAUUAUUCUAUUAUUAUUAUUAUUAUUAUUAUUAAUAAUAAUAAUUCCAAGGAUCUCAAGUUGGUGGACAUGGUUCCACCCCUCACUAUUUUAUCCUCACAACAACCUUGCGAGGUAGGUAAUCCUAAGAAAAAAUGACUGGGCUACGAUUAUAUAGUGUUUAUUUUUUUAUAUUAGGUAGGGUUUUUCCUGAUUGUUAGAUUAAGGGUGCUCUAGAAAUAAUUGCCAUUAUCCUCACCCAGCGACUACAAACUCAUACACUCCAAUAAUCUUCCCUGUUUGCCAGAACAAUUCCUAUUUUUUCCUGGAAAAUCACUGUCCCUACUUUCGCCCUAUUUGUUUUUUUGCUUGCUAGGGAUGCAUUGCUAAACAUGCGUAUGCGAGACUUUCUCGUGUCUUCAGGGUUUAAAUCUUCAGAAAUUAAAUCUCCAGAGUUGUGAACAGAUGCAUGUUUCCUUUAAGGGUACCAGGUAGUGUGCAACCUGCCAUUUUCCACACUGGAGCUGCUGAAAUCAUCAUCAUCUGUAGAGCACUUUCAAGUGUUUAAAAUGCUUCACACAAAUUGCCAUCCUUACAAGUGCCCUAAAAAUUAAAUCAGUAUUAAUACCCACCUCCAUCACAAACAGAGAGGAGUGAGGUUGAGGGAGAGAACAGCUUUGCUAAGGCCAUUCAGGGAGCACACGGGAGAGAUAAAAGGUAAAAUGGGACACGGGUGGUGCUGUGGUCUAAACCACUGAGCCUCUUGGGCUUGCUGAUUGGAAGGUCAGCAGUUCGAAUCCUCAUGACGGGGUGAGCUCCUGUUGCUCUUUCCCAGCUCCUGCCAACCUAGCAGUUUGAAAGCAUGCCUGUGCAAGUAGAUAAAUAGGUACUGUUGCAGUGGGAAGAUAAACGGUGUUUCCAUGUGCUCUGGUUUCCCUCACGGUGUCCCGUUGCGCCAGAAGCGGUUUAGUCAUGCUGGGUACACGGCCCAGAAAGCUGUCUGUGGACAAAUGCCGGCUCUUUCGGUCUGAAAGCGAGAUGAACGCUGCAACCCCAUAGUCGCCUUUGGCUGGACUUAACCGUCCAGGGUUCCUUCACAUGGGAGAGUUGAGAUUUGAACAUCUCUUUAGUCAUUCCUUGCUGUGUUUUCUUACUGUAAGGGAGAGAGCUGGAUCAGCAUUGAAAGAAGUUAAUGAUAAGCGAUGGACAUAGAUAAUCCCUGUUCUGUGAAAGCCACCAGCUUUUGAAGGUGACUCAUUCAUCCUCCUCACCACAGCUAAAGGUGAGGGAGGCCUUAUCUGAGGCCUCUGCGUGUGUGCCUCUGUGUAAACUGCAGUCUGAGUCAGAGAGGGUGCUCCCAGGUGAGGGUCAGAGUUUGCGUACGCACCACAUGUCUUUCCCCAAAGAAUCUUCAGAACUACUGUAUACUCAUGGAGCUACAAUUCCCAGCACCCUUGAUAAACUAUAGUUCCCAAGAUUGUUUCCCAUGGGCUUUAAAUGUUUGGCAUGUACACACCCUGAUAUCGCAAAUGUUAUUGCUCAGAGGGGAAUGCAGCCCUCAGGAUGAACAAAUUUCCCACACCUGGUGUUGGCAGUCCUGAGCUAGAUGGAUCAAUGGUCUGAUAAGACAGCUUCCUGUGUACCUAUAUAUUCAUUUUCUGCCAUCAGUGAGAAGUCAGAAUUCCUCCUGGUAUCAAGGAGUGAAGUUCAGCCCCUCCUCUGAAGGCAAACCUUUCUUGACUGGGUAAAGGUGGAGUUUUUGGCUGGUGAGACGAACACUGUGCCAAAGGUCAGACAGAGUGCAUGCGAAGGCUUUUUGUCCUCUUUCGUUCAGAUUGCCCAUAAUAACAUCUCGUUGUAGGUGUGCAAAUAAGUACCAGGAAGCCAUAAACCCUGCUACAUGCUCAAUCUGCACACCAAGCCACAGCGAGGAACUGAAGCAUGAGCACUGCCUGACAAGACACAUUGCCUGGGAACCACAUCCGAUUAGCUCCCUUUAGAUAACUCUCGAGCUAUUUGAGUAGCUGAUUUGCCACAAGGCAGAUAUUAAAUCCUAGCUUGAAGCUCGGAGCAGCAAAGCAGUGAAACCGGGGCACUUUCUCUGAGCUGGAGGAAUUGGAUUUCGCGGGGAAGGGCUAAGUCUGCGCAUGGCCUCAGUCGCUGCCGCCUAAUCGCUUACUGUAUGCGUCUGGCUGUUUUCAGCGCUAUGGCAAGAUUUGAAAUAUGCCGUGGAAGACUGAUCCUUGCCUGGAAACUGAAACUUAACUACAGUGGGAGCUGCAAGUCAACAUGCAUCUGUGUCAGAAGCAGCAGAAGCCGCUUAGAGCUUUAGGACAGCAAUCUGUAAUUAUGGUAAUACCACGGCCGGCAAACUCUGUGGGUCAAAACACCAGCCAGUCCGAUUGCAGACUUGUCUGCACCAGCACCUACAGCUGCAAAGAAGAGUCUUCACUUCCUUGAAGCAUUUCUUUUAAAAAGCUUUUGCUUGUGUAAAAGGAGGGACACAAUCCGAUUCAGAAAAAGCGAAUCCCUAAAUCAUACCUGCACUGUACAUCUAAAGCCCUGUUGCACCACUUUAGGGAUCACGUUUUCUCCUAAAGGAUCCUGGGAACUGUUGUUUGUUAAGGAUCUCCUAGGCACUGUGGGUUAAACCAUAGAGCCUAGGACUUGCCGAUCAGAAGGUUGGCGGUUCAAAUCCCUGCGACGGGGUGAGCUCCUGUUGCUCUGUCCCAGCUCCUGCCAACCUAGCAGUUCGAAAGCACGUCAAAGUGCCAAGUAGAUAAAUAGGUACCGCUCCAGCAGGAAGGUAAACGGCAUUUCCGUGCGCUGCUCUGGUUUGCCAGAAGUGGCUAGUCCUGCUGGCCACAUGACCUGGAAGCUGUAUGCCAGUUCCCUUGGCCAAUAAAGCGAGAUGAGCACCACAACCCCAGAGUCGGUCUCGACUGGACCUAAUGGUCAGGGGUCCCUUUACCUUACCUAACAACUCUGAACACCCUUCACAAACUGCAGUUCCUAGGAUUCUUUGAGAGGAAAGCUCUUAAAGUGGGAUAAGAGUGCUUUAAAUAUACGUUGUGGUUGUGGCCACAGUGAAACAUCCAAUUCAAAAUGCUGUUCUUCUGUACCAGGAAACAGAACAAUCCCUAAGUAGCCAUUUGUCAAACUAGUUCUUUAUUUUGUUACUGGAAAAAUCCGAGGGCUCCCUUGGACAAAAAGUAAAGACACCAACCAGAGUAAAUUGGAGCAAAUCAGCAGCCUGUAGGCUUGGCCUUUAUUGAACUGUUGCAACAGGGUGUUCCCCUCACUUGCAGGAGAGAGGAAAGACACAGAAAAUGGUGUGCAAGACCUUAUAAAAACUUUUGAAAUUCCCACCCUGUAGAUCAAGCCCACCCCCAGAAACAUCAUGCAUACAUUACAGAAAGGAGGGGUUGAGGGAGGAGUUGUGGUGGUAACCUGAGUGUCCUGUCACCUGGCUGGUUCCCCUCUACCCCUCCCCAUGAGUCAUUUUCUGAAGACAAAAGGUAGUCGCAGUUUCCUGCCCCCUGAGGGAAGAUCUGAUCAUUGUCCUUUGUUCCAGUCCAUGCAGAAUCCAUUCCCAUAUGCAAGUUCUUUGUGAUCUUGAUUGUCUUCUGUCUAGGACCAUCAGGGUUGGCAUAGCAACUGGGCAGGGCUCCUGUGGAUGUGCUGGGAUGGUGAAGGGAUUAUGGCUGACCAGAACCAAGCCACCCCCCUUUGAUAGUCCUUGUCAUAUGGAGUAAAAUAAAAAUGGAACAGUGCAAAUCCGAUGUAUGGUUGAUUUUUCUAUGAAUUUAUAACAGAAGUGUGGCAUAUGGAGUGUGUGAGUGUGAGUGUGUGAAGUUUGUACAAACUGAAUGAUUGGGGUGGGGGGUUCCUGCUACUAUUUAUAAAAAUGUCUGUAUACCACUGUAUCAUGAGAAGAAAUAUAUCAAACUGAUUUACAGUGAGAACACAUAAUACAUACAAUAAAAACCAUAUAAAAGAAAGUUAUAAACAGACACUAAUUAACCAUGGUGGAAAGAUGUAUUCUUAACUGCCUCCAUAGGCCUUGUGGAAUAGAAAAGUUUUCGCAGACGUUUAGAAGUGGACACAGUAGAUGCCUAUGGAGGUUUGGGGGUGCAUUGCCCGUGGGUUCAUUAUCCCGAGACUGUAAUUGGCACAGGGCACUUUUGAAAGGUCAAAAGGGCAUUGCUAAAGGAGUAAAGACUUCUUUACACAUUUUUACUUAAAAUAAAUAAAUAAAUAAAUAAAAAAGUUACUCCUGUUUAUUUGCCUGACAGUAAAAAAUAUUUUCAGCACACCCAGGCCUUUGUAUGAAAAGAAAAACUGAAUAACUGUACACAUUACAUGGCGAGAGAACUGCACUGCAAAAUCUGGAGAAAUGCAAAUUUCGAAGGACGGCUGCAUUCCGGCUGGCGUAUUGAUUUGUAAAAUACAAAUUAGGAAGGUUCGCCUUUAAAUGCAAACGGAACCACAUUUCUCACCUCUCCCUCCCUAACACUGAGAGUCUGGAGGCGACCUAAGUCUUGUUCCCCGAGAGAGGUUUCUAGCAGAAAACAAAAAGAAAACCCCCGUCAGGCGGCAGCCUUGGCUUCCUUUCUGCAUUACGUUAUCCAGGACAAAGGGGAGUUAGGCGCAUGAGGAGCCUGGCUGGGAGCCUAUUGUCAGAGAGAACAGAUUGGGAUGUCUCCGCUGUUUAAAUAGUGCUGCAGGGGUCAAAGGCAAGGGCUCUGCCAUCUCAGAGGCUGGAGGGUUUACUAGGCAAACCUAAUCUCCUGCAUCUGGUUGAUCUUAACUGCCCUCGACAGCCAAACCAGCUUAACCUGUGUACAAGACCCAAUGCAAUUUAUAUCACUUGGUUAAUAUCCAUUGUAGUGAAACUAAUCUCCUUAGGACAUGUCUGGCCAGCAUCUUUCCCCCUUUCUUUUCUUUUUUUGGGUUCACUUGUACCUGGAUGCAUUGCAUUACUAGUUGACACUUCCAAUCCUGUUUGAAUGAAGCAGGUGGGAUAGAAGCAAUUGAAAAGAGGAAGAAAAUGUACCAUGAAUGACCAUUGUGAUCUAUGAACAACUCAAUUCGUUCCUUGCUUGUUUUUGUUACUGUUCAAAGUAAGUUUGCAUUGCAUUAAGUGGGUUAAUUUGUGCUCAUAUGAGAAACCUUCAUGGUACUUGAAAAGUAUCUGAUCCUAAAUCCUCAAGAGCUGCCACCAUCCAGUGUAGAGUUGGCAAUUCUGAGCCAAAUGGACCACCGGGUCUAAGGCAGCUUCCUACAACUUUUCGACCACACUCCAUAAUAAGGUUCCUGUGGAACUGAAGGGGUGACCUGUGCUAUGCCAUUCUCAGCUCUCAUGCUCUCAGGGAAUUAUGACAAAAGAUAUUGAAGGAAGUCUAGAAGCUGAACAUCUUUCAGGUCAUUCUACCACCCCUUUCAGUUUUACAAGCCAAUUUUGCAAUGGUGUUCCUGUACAUUUUUUUUUAAAAUCCAAACUGUAAUAAAAAUAGAAAAAGAAAAGAAAAAAUAUUUUAAUCAAUUCAAUCCAUUCUGAGUUGACAUCAAGGACAAAACCCAAAAGGAUAUGCAAGGAUUUCAGGUAGUGUAAUGCAAAACGGAAAAGACCAUACCUGCUUUUUUUUUUGCUUUUUUUAAAAGGAGAACUUAUGUUGUAGUUCUGAGUGUUGUCAAAGAAAUAAACUCCAAAUGUUGUAUUUCUGUAGAUUAUCGUUCAUUCUUGAUUCCAACUUCUUGCUCCCAGGGCUCUUCCAGUAACUGCUCUGGGUGUGCCUUUCGAAUGUGUUCUCCUUUGAUAAAGCAUCCCAUUUCCCCGAAGAGAAAGCAGUUGUCAUUACACCAGCUUAGUUUGGAACUGGACCAAAGCAUCAUUCCAAAGAUUUCUUCCCCUCCACACACACAAAAUGACAUAAAUUAAUUAACUGGUCAAAUUCAAAUUAACUGGCCGGUGAACAGAUUCUGUAAACACCAGCUUCCUGGAAAGCGAACUCACAUCCUCUGUCCCUCACCUCCACAUCUGAUGUGGCCAACUGGUAGUCUACAAGCAGCAACUUUGACUGUUGGGGCUGGAGCUCAGUGGUUUUGAGCAUCUGCUUUUCAUACAGGAGGUCUCAGGUUCAAUCCCUAGCAUCUCCAGGUAGGGCUGGAUGAGAAUCCUGUCUGAGUUCCUGAAGAGCUGCUUCCACUCAGUGUAGACAGUUGUUGAAAGAGGGACCAAUGGUUUGACCCAGUAUAAGGCAGCUUCUUCCUAUGACUGUCACCAUUGUGGAAAUUAUUCCUCAUGUGCAUGUAUGGACAAACCCAGGCUUCUAGUAGGUGGAAGGGAAGCAUGAACACAGAAGAUAAAGGCUAGGCUAGCUUCAGAAAGGACAGAAGCCCCCAACGUCCUUUUUCAUUCUCUCAUGCAAGUGCCUACAAAACUCCUCUGUACUUCAAGAGCAGAGGAUGGGGAAACUUUUGGUCUGUAGCCUGGCCAGUGGUCAGUGAUGAUGAGUGUUGUGAUCCAGCAACCUCUGAAGGACAGCAGGUUCCCCACCCCAUGGAAGGGCUGUAGUUAAUGCAGUAGAACACCUGCGUCAAAUGCAAAAGGAUCCCAUUUCAAUUCCAGGCAUCUUCAGGUUGAGCUGGGAAUGUCCCUUGCUUGAAAUCCUUGUCAUUGUAGACAAUAUUAAGUGAGAGAGAAUGAAUGAUAAGGCUAUUUCCUAGACACAAAGAUGCCCAAGCAGGACCUGAAUGUAAGAGCCCGCUCCUCUCCUGUGGUUUCCAGCAGCUGGUAUUCAGAAGCAUUGCUGCCUCUGACCAUGGAGACAGAGAAUAGCCAUCAUGGCUAAUAGCCAUAAAUGAGCCAUGAGCCUUCCCACUGGUAAGGCAGCUCAGAUGUGUUUGGGGCCCUGGUGCUCAUUCUGUUGUUAGAUUCAGUAGUGUAGUCACUUGCAGUGGUGUAGCGUGGGUUGCGGGCACCCAGGGCAGGGCAAGUGUUGUGCCCCCUGAUGGAAUGGGCAGCUGGGGUGGGGCGCACUAGGGCCUGCACAGAGGGUGAAUGGAGCCCGCCUCCAACCAGCCCCUCACCUGCUGCCUCCAUCCACCUGCCCACUAGACCAACCCACCUGCCGCUGUGCCUCAGCUGCCAGAGAUCUGUGCCUGUUGUGGGGGCGCCUGAUUGUCCCCCCCCCUCAAAAAUGUGUGCCCCACCACUCCCAUGCUAUGCCUCUGAUCACUCGUUACCAAGGUCUCCAAGCAACUUGCAUUUAAAUACAGUACAUAAACCAAAACACAUUAUAUACAAUUAUCACCAUUAGGAAGAACUUUCUGUCAGCAAGAGCUGUUUGACCGUGGAAUGGAAUAUCUCAGAAGGUGGUGGACUGUCCUUCCAUGGAGGUUUUUAAGCAGGGGUUGGAUGGCCAUUUGUCAGACAGACACAUGCAAAACACGCACACACAAAACCCCUUCCCAUAGCAGCCACAGGAAGAUUUGUCAGCAGGCUAACAGCAGAACAAAAUCAUGUCAGUCCUUUGAAAGCCUGGGGGAAAGGGUACGUCUUCACCCCGAAAAGUGGGGUGCUAAGUGUGUUGAGUGGCGCCCUGGACCUCUGCCCCCAAGGCUCCCCAGGAUUGCUUUAAGUCCAGGGAGACAGAGCUGGAACUGACCAGACUGACAGGCGAUGGCAGGAGAAUUUUUGCUUAACAGGCGGUGAUUGGAAUAGCCAGCACUGUCCUUUAAACUCACAAAUGCAAAGCGGAAUUGAAAUUUAUUGCUCUGCUUGUUGCGUUUGCCUCCAGCAGGAGUGCCUGAGCAAUCAAUGAUUGUGAUUUGCCCGGCUUGCGGUGGAGACAGGUGAUGGGCAUGAAUAAUGCUCAGGCCUGCCUCGCCUGUGUAAAUGUUCCCGCUUCCUUUAUUCUCCUGGAUAGGCAGACGUGUGGGACUCUGCCGCGUCAACAGCAAUUCCACUCCUGCCUCUUUGCGACUUGCACUCAAACCUUUCGCUAUUUGCAUGUGAAUCCGCUUGGGGCCCCCUCAGGAGGCGGCGUCUGACCUGCUGAAAUGCAGGUCUCCAAGCCUCUCAAUCAUCUUAUUAUACAUAACAGCUAAAUAAUUCUGCUUGCCUGCAUAUAAAUGACUCGGGGAAGGGAGGGGAAAGGGCAGAUGGGAGGCCUCUGUGAGGCUUCUGCCAGAGGCAGCAUACUGGCCAAACAUUUCAAGUGACAGAUUUCGCAUGAAAUGGAUGAGCUCUGCUGAGGAAAAGUCCCCACCGUGGUGAAAAGUCUCCCAGGGACCUUAAAAUAUCUGUCACCUUUGGACCAAACCAGGCAAGUUCUUCAAAAAACAGACUCACAGAAAACAAAAGCUCUUGAAUCUACCCCUCUGCAUUAAAGAACCCUGAAGAUAUCCAAUGGGAUAUCAAAUCCAAACACCACUUCCAUCAAACAGCCUUGCCUAUUUAUCAUUUGUGCGGUUAAGGCCCCUCCAGAUUAUCUGUUUAUUGAGCAUUUGUCCUGAUUUGCUUGCACAAAGCUUUUGUGGAGGUUAGAUUGCAUCCAGUCUUUACUGAUCUGUUUGUGGGGACAGUUACAGGACAAUGAGCACUCAUCUUGCAUUCAUCCUGAAUGGCUUGCUGGGUUUAUGUAUCUUCCGGAUUAGUCAUUAGUUUACCAUACAAGUUGAGAUACAGUUCUGUGUCCAAACAACAAAUAAUUCCCUGUCCUUUUGAAAGCAGACUUAUUUAUAUAUUUACUAAUUUACAAUACUUAGAUUCAGGCCGACCUCACAAAGUGGAUUAGACAAGAUUAUUACAACAGUUAGCAUCAAUUUAAUUGCCUCCCCAGAAUGGGAAAUACACCAUCUUUUUUUUUUUUAAUAGAAAAGAAUGACUGCUGCUUUCUCUCUCCCCACCCCCUUAGUGCAAGAUGGUCCUUCAGAUACAUAGGAGCCAAUUGCUAGAGGCCAAGGGGUCUUUGCUCCCCAAUAAAAUAUUUGAGGGGGUUGAGGAGCAUUGCCGUUCAAAUGGUGUGCCUGCACCGCACCAUGUGAUCGAUUAUGUGGGGUGGGGCUUACCUGCCCCCCUCCCAAUUGCUCCCUUAGUUGCUAAACUACUGCCUGGAGUUCACACUUUUCUAAAGUUUGGAUUCCCAUCUUGAAAGAACUGCAGGUCAAAUGAGACAUGACACUAAAAGUUCAAUCCCUUACUUGAAUACUCAGAACUAAGUCCCACUGAAUUCCAUGGGACUGCCUCCCAGGUAUGUGUGCAUAUACGGUAGAUUGGCGUGAUAGAUCAAUAGAUAUACAGUCUAGCUAUACCAUUAGAAACCACUUUAGGAUUUGUAACAUUUAAUAAUAGGCAUGGGUAAUGCAAUUGGGACCACAGUGCAUGGGGCAGGUUUAACCCUCCUCUCCCUGACUGGGAUUCUGAUGGAGAUAACCCCCCUUUCUCCCUCCCUCCCUCUCUCUCUCUCUCUCUCUGGGAUUCUGAUGGAGAUAACCCCCCUUUGCGUGGCGAGUUCCCGCCCCCCACCAGGAUAAAUAAAGACACCAGACACCAUAAUUUAAGGUUAAUUGGGCGAAUUAGGCCACAACUUUAUUGAGUUCAGGAAUGAGAGGCAUUGGCUUAGGCAUUGGUCCUAUCGACUAUCCGGCUCUAGCCCAUUUGCUGGAGACACGGGGAAGGGUUAACACUAUAUCGGGAGUCUCCUGCCGAGGCACGUCGACUAGUAGCUCCACGGGUCACCGCUCUGGGGCGUGCCUUUGGCCCUCACCUCCAUAGGCUUCGGACAGGGCCACGCCCCCCGGAGUCCUUUAACGGACCACCCUUCGUUCACUGGGGGGAGGUGAUGGCGCUCCUCCCCCCCCACAUCCUCUUAACCCCUUCUUACCAAUGCCUACCGCCACACGAGCAACCGCAAUAAAAUUCCACCUAAUACCAACCUGUAGGAGAAAAAACGUGAGGGCUAGCCGGCAAAGAGAGGGCGAGCCCCCUCCGUGCCGGCCCUAAAUAGCCCAGGCCACGCCCCCCCAGCCAGCCGAUUGGCUGGCUGGGGGGGCACACCCGGCCGGGAUUCCUCUGUUCUCGCGGGGGCUGAAACCAGCCCCCGCUCACGUGGGGUGGGCGUGAAGCCCGCAACCCCACCUCCUGGGCAAGCCGGAAGUGGCUUUCUCCCUCUCUCUCUCUCUCUCUCUCUCACACACACACACACACACAAACACAAACACACCACAAUUAGCCUUAGGGAACAACCUUCUAUUGGGCAUCUCAUGUAGCUCAUUUAAGUUCUUUUGAGGGUGAAAUGGGAUGCCCCUUCUAUAGUGUCUCUUUCCUGCCUCUGCUAGCUAUUUUUAUAACGUUUCCACUGAAAUUUUGCAUUUCCCUUGGUGACAUGGCUUGUGUCAGAUGGACGUCUGAUGGCUAUUAGGUUUUUAAAAAGAUUUUCAGUAUAGCCAACGAUUACGUAUAAUUACAUUUCCAGUUCUCCACAUUGUGCAGUGAUUGGGAUUAUUUCUCCCAUAAUCUUUAGAUUGGCUGGAUUGCAGAGGGUCUCUGAGUGCGUCUAACUAUCUGCCACCAGCUUUUCAAAAAGUUGGGUUGCUGGUUGUUAAGGUGGAUACACCUGGAAUAUAAUGGCCAUUCUUCCAAUCUCUUGAAAAAAAUCAUUUUGGCAGCCAGAAAAGACACUUCCCCAUCGCAAAUCCUAGUUCACUUAGUAAGUGCUCAAGAUUUGACAAAGUGCAAAGAGGUUAAAAAUGUGCUUGGGAUUCCAGCCUUCUGAAAACUGUUCUUUUAAUAGGUAACAUAUCACCCCCCCCCCCCACACAUAAGAACCUCUUUGGAAUGAUUUCCCAUUCAUUAACCUAGAAAAUAAUAGAAAUGCACUCCAUUCGCCUUUAUCUGUCUCUAUUCUUUUAUGAAGGCGUCAAAGAAAUAAGCCCAAUUUUAUUCAUUAUUUUUUUUACCUUGCUACUCAAACUUGAAUAGGAAACUGACCCACGGUGCCUUCCAUCCUGUAAAGAAAUAAAAUAAAACCCAGAAAGUGGAAGGGGCCAUUUCUUCAAGUCUUUUCCGAUUUGCUCGUCAUGGCAUUAAUGAGGCCAAUUAGCAAUUUGUCUUUAUGUGCAGUAUCCCUGGAAGGAAAAGCAGCCGUUCCUCUAAAUGACAAAAGAGAUGAUAGUACUUUGAUAGCUUUUGCUGACUGACAGAUGCUUGUUGGUCCUGGCAAAGUAAUUUAUUGGCCUCUGCUUGGUUCCUCAGGGCACAAGUCUAUACAGAAUACAGGAGGUGCACUAUGAAUGAAUAUGGUGAUGGCUUUGCCUGCAUAGGCUUUUGUUAAUCCAUUGAGAUCAAAGCAAAUGAACCUCUCAUCUUCUGGGAAGCCAUAAACCGCUGCAUCAUCGCUGCAGGGCCUGUCCAUCCCAGUAGUUCUUGUGCCAGAGCAAUGCUCCAAGGCUAUGUCUGACAAUAGGCUACGGAAGCAGGCCACACUUCUGUCAACCGCAGCGCAAACACACAUCUGAUGCUGUCGCCUGAUUCGCUUGGGAACAUCCAACAGCUUUUUCUCAGAAGCUCACCAGAACCAUGGAGUUUUUGACAACAACUCUGAAUGAGGGACGCGGGUGGCACUGUGGGUAAAGCCACAGAGCCUAGGACUUGCCGAUUGGAAGGUCGGCGGUUCGAAUCCCCGCGAUGGGGUGAGCUCCUGUUGCUCUGUCCCUGCUCCUGCCAACCUAGCAGUUUGAAAGCACGUCAAAGUGCAAGUAGAUAAAUAGGGACCGCUCUGGCGGGAAGGUAAACAGUGUUUCUGUGUACUGCUCUGGUUCGCCAGAAGUGGCUUAGUCAUGCUGGCCACAUGACCCGGAAGCUGUAUGCCGGCUCCCACAGCCAAUAAAGCGCGAUGAGCGCCGCAACCCCAGAGUCGGUCAUGACUGGACCUAAUGGUCAGGGGUCCCUUUACCUUUACCUUACUGAAUGAGAUGCUGAAAUUGCAGGACAUGUAUUAUUAUUAUUAUUAUUAUUAUUAUUAUUAUUAUUAUUUGCUUUGCAUGCAAUAGAUCAGAGGUUCAAUUCCCGGCAUCUCCAGGGAGAGCUGGGAGAGAUCCCACCUGGAAGAGGCACUGCCAAUCAGUGUAGACAAUACUGAGCUAGAUGGAGUAAUGGUCUGAUUCACUUUAAGGCAGCUACCUACCUAUGACCUCAUGGCACUGGAUGUGGCUCCAGCAUAGAAAGGAUUCACAUGAUCUACAUGGGACUAUUUGAGUGUGGCUCAGUUGUCUGUUCUUAACCCCCCCCCCCCUUUUAAGCCACUUUAAGAAAGGCUUAUCCCAAAAGGAAGAAUAGAAGGAAAUAAUAAAAAAAAACAAAUAAAGAAAAAAGCAUCUCUGGGCCAAAUAGGAUGUGAUGUUGGCACUCCCUCUCCCUCUCUCUCCUUAAUGUUAAUAGGAACUGUGGUGGGAGAGGAUUUAGUGUGGCCAAAUUGGUAGAAUUGCUCUUGUUUUGCCCUGUGUGGCAGCAAAAUGUAAAGAUUGUAUUUUGCCGUGCAAGGCAAGUUGCUAGAAAACUAGAAAAUGCCAUAAGGGAAAGGAUUCUUCUGUGCUUUUCUAGGACAGUGGUUCCCUCCCCAACAACAGCAACCGAUGUCUGGUGGGAAUUUCUGAAAGGCGGCGCUUUGUCCUUAGGCAAGUCAAUCAAAAAAUUAUGGGUUUUUUGUUUUGUUGCUGUUUUUGAAGAGGGAAGCUCAACAACUUCGGAGUUUGUCCAAAAAAAAGUUGUGACUCGAUUCAGGACUUCAGAGGAAGUUUCACAGAGCUCCUCCAUAUUGCACAUUCAUGAUUACAGUAGUUCAGCAUCCUGUUCUCACAGCAGCCAACCAGUGGGAAGCCUACAAGCAGGACCCAAACACAACAGCGCUGCCCACCUGCAAUUCCUAGCAGCUGCCAUAUUGCCUCUGACAGUGGAGGUAGAAUAUAGCCAUCGUAGCUCAUAGCUGCUGAUAGCCUCAUCCUCCAUGCGUCAUCUUUUAAGGCCUCCAAGUUGGUGGCUGUUAUGUAUUCAGUGGUCUGUGUCUGCCUGAGCUUGAGUCUGGACUAAGGGUUCUGAGCUCCUGUAUUCUUAAUUUAUGGUUUUUAUUUAUUGUACCUUUUCCUUCAAGGGGCUCCUGAGCUCCUGUGUUCUGAUUCAAUACAUGAUAUCCAAUCACAGAACAUGUCAGGAUUUGGGCCUCUGCCAUUGGCCCUUAAACUCUGAGUUAUGAUUCGCAGCUUGGAAGUUUAGACAGCCAAUCACUUUGGGAGUGAGAGUGGCCCAGGCCUUGAGAAAUGUAUAUAUGCAGUUGCUUUGCCCAUGUUCUGUUAGUUCAAUAAAGGUUCUUGCUGUUAUCACUGUGUCUUCGGUGGCCAUCACUGCCUCCUGUGGGAGUGAGUUCCAUAGUUCAAUUCUGCACUACGUGAAGUCAUAUUUGCUUUUAUCUUUCCUGAAUUUUCAAUAUUCAGGUGCACUGAAUGUCUGCAAGUUCUAGUGCUAUUAAAUAAGAAAGACCUGUCUCUAUCCACUUCCUCUAUGCAAUGUGUGUUUUUAUAAGUUUCUGUUAUGUAGCAUCUUACUUGCUUUUUUUCUAUAAACUAUGCAGUCCCAAAGGCUGCAACCUUUUCUCACAGGGCAGGCCCUCAAACAUUUUGGUUGCCUUUUUUUGGAACCUUUUCCAUAGCAUCCCUUUUGAAAUGAAACAAAGUGAAAUAUCCUGAUGUUUUCCUGUUUGGUAAGUCAAGCCCUGUUUGCUUCUCUCUAGUUGAAGGGCCGGAACUGCACAAAGCGGCCCAGAUAACCAGAAAGAAAAGAGCCUGCAAGCCUUUUUUUGUAACAGGCAUAUUUGGCUUGUAUUAUGAACGGCAUUAACAUGUGAAAAAACAGUUUGUAUCCUCAAAUUACAGCUGCUGUUUUUCCAAAGGCAUCAGCUUCAGCUGGUGUGGAAAACUGCUAAUCUUCCCCCCCACCCCCACUUCUCUCUCCCCCGACAGGAAAUUAUAAUUGCACUUUUGAAAGAUGAGAAUAUAUUUGGCAUAUUGCAAAUAAAGGAGAUAAAGGGAUUAAAUACAUGAGGAAAAGUGAACUGAAAGAAAAUGCUAAUGAGGAGUUAUAUUCAAUAUUACAAACUUCCACCUCUUGAAAGAUGCCAUAUGUGGCAGUGCAUGGUUUUUGAUUGGCAUUUUCAAACCAUUUACACUUGGAAAUCAAUAGGCUUGUUCCAGAGGAGGUUGCUCAAGGAGGAUAUUUUUACACCCCAAAUCGGAAUACAUUAUGCAGUAGUUCAAAAAUAAGUGGGAUAACUGAAGAACCAAACCAAUAAAAUGAAGUGGUCAUAUUUUUUUUUUUUAAUUUUUCUUUUACCUGACUGGAAAGCAUUAUUGAACUCUGAUCAUGCCUCUAAUCUGCCCGGAAGGAGGGCUACAUGAGGGUGUGAAGGACCGAGCCUAUUGUCCAAGGGUAACAAUUGAAUCUGUAUUUCUGCUCACUUUUGCUCCUGGCUCUACCCAGCAUUGACAUGUAGAUCUUGUAAGGCUGCACAGAAGAGAAUGCACCCUUUGGGUUGAGAAAGGUUCCCAAAGGAAUAUUCAGUAUUCAAACCAGAGUUUAUUAUUCUUUUUCACAUGCAGACACCUUUCCCUGCCCUACCCGCAGCUAGUCCCCAGCUAGAUAGUGGUGGAAUCUGGAUGGGUUAUCUCCUUUGACCAUUGUCUUGCCUUUGGGGGCCAUCUUCCUUCCCAUGGUAGCACCUUGUCUGAAUGUUAUCAGCUAUUAUCACUCUUUAGUCAAGGUGAUGACAUCUCAAGGAUGUCAACCCAACCCUGUCUCAAGCCAACCCACAUUGAGAACCCUGUUAGCAGAAAUCUGAUAGGAAACCCAUCACAAUAUAUAGUAUACAUAUGUGCGGCAUCUGUUUAAGAAACUUAAAUGCCUAUAUAGAAGUAGUCAUAAGAAACAAUCUGCUAGACAAUGCAGAUAUACUCUAAACAACCAUAUAAAACUUUCCCACUAAGUUUUUUUUGUUAGUUGUUUUCGCUUUAUAUUGGAGCUAAUCCUAUUGAUUUUAACUGUACUUAUUUCAAAUUAUAGCUCCAGUCUACCGUCGUGCAUUCCGAGG